GUUUAUUCGACUCUCAUUUGCAAGUUUUGUGCAAGUUUGCCGGCUAAGAAAUUCAGGUAUUAAGUUGUCCCUAUGUCUUAAGUUCGAGUAAUAAACAUUAGCAUAAUCGAAAGUAUAUCAAUUAAACUAUUUGAGAUUGAUUGUGAAAUCACUACAUAAUAUAUGUGUCAAUGUUUUAUUCUCGCAGAUUAUGAAUCACAAGAAACGCAUACGAAACGCUGUUUCUCAAGGGAAUAUAGAAUUCCCACCCUCUCAUUCUCAGCAACAUUUUCAUCAAGGGAAUGCAAAAUUCCCACCCUCUCAUUCUGAUUCGCAUUUCCAUCAUGUAUAUUCACAUGGUCAACCAUCAUCAUCUAAUUCUUAUGUUCCAUCGAAUGGUGGUGGAUUUAUGGAAUCGGAGAACAAUGCAGAUGAUGCUUCAUAUGAUGGUAAAUUUAUCAUCUUUUCAGUUACACUAUCAACUUUCUACUAAACUCAAUAUUUUUUUACUUUGAAUCCAGGGACGAGUCAGAGAACAACAAAAAAGGGCGAGGUCGUACAAAAAUGCUCAAAUCAUGGGGCAAUGAAAAAUUUGAAGUUCAAGUUAAUGAAUUUAAUCAAGCUAUUGGUAAAAAUGCAGCAAAACUUUCAAGUCAGAUGGGUCGUGUGGCAAAAAGUGGCAGCCGAUUUCCUCUUACAGUUGGAGAUUGGAGAAAAAUUGACAAGUACAACAAGGAAAUAACGUGGUUGGAGUAUAAGGUAACAUAGUACUGUAUGUGAUGAAAUAGUGAACAUAUUUCAUUAUUAGAUACAUUAGAUUAUGUACUUGGUUUAAUCGGCAAACUCAGUUCUUCUAAUUUUUUAUAACAGGCAAACUUCUCACUCGAAGACAAUUUUAAACCUCAGUUUCUUAAAAAGUUGGGCAAUAUGUGGAAGAAUUGGAAAUCUGAGGUUAAAAGAACUUAUUAUUCUAUACACGAGACUGAUGCUGAGCGAUUAGCUAAUUGUCCCGACAUUGUUGAAAAAGAUCAGUGGCCAACUUUAGUUCAUCAUUGGAGUUCUAAAAGGGCAGAGGUUUGAUGAUUUCAUAUUAUCGUUUAAAAAAUAAUAUCCAACAUUUAACCUAUUUUAUUAUUUUCUAUGCAGUGCCUUAGUGAUACAAACUCUCUGAACCGAGGAAAGCAAAAAGUGCCACAUAGAACUGGAAAAAAAAUUUAUGCAGUUGUUAGGAAUGAGGUACCGAGCUUUUUUUAAUUUGUAAUAGAUAAAUAUGUUUUGUUGUAAGUAUUACUUCUUUGACUUAUGCUACUCAGAUGCAAUACAUAUAGCUCUCUUUUAUUUUGUUUCAUUUUUCAGAUGCAAAUAGAAAAUGGCAAAGAUCCUACUGAUUACGACUUUUGGAUGGCAACACAUGUUGGUUUGGCCAAGACACCACUUGAUAGAAAGACAUCUAAAUUCAUCGUAUGUAUUAUGUUAUUUCAAUUCGAUGUUUACGGCUUUCAGUUAUACAGUUCUAAUUUCAUCAUUUUACAGGAAAAUCUUAGACAAAUGAUUUCCAAAAAUCCAGAGGGCUUGAAAUCAAAAGAAAUGAGAGAUCAACUUUUAGCUCAAUUUUUGGGUCCAGAAAAGCCAGGGCAGAUGAGAAAAUAUGGCUUUGGUCCAACACCUACUCAAGUGAGUUCAUUAAAAAAUCAAACGAAACUUGUUGAGGAAAAAGUUUAUAUCCUUGUGGAUUCCAUUCGGAAGGGAUUAAAGGAAGAGAUAGAAUCUGGCUUGCGUAGCAUAAUCGAAGAAACAGUGCAAGAUGUUAUACGAUCUCUCACAAGAACAAACUCUUUGGCUCCUGAAUCUGCUGCAGUUUCAGCUCCUUCCACGUCUAGACGG
rnacentral:lncRNA from 1 species